rnacentral:rRNA from 1 species
CAGGGGAUGCAAGCGUUAUCCGGAAUAAUUGGGCGUAAAGCGUCUGUAGGUGGCUUUGAAAGUCGAUUGUCAAAAACCAAGGCUUAACCUUGGGCGGGCAAUGGAAACUUCAAGACUAGAGUAUGGUAGAGGUAGAGGGAAUUACCGGUGUAACGGUGAAAUGUGCAGAUAUCGGUAAGAACACCAAAGGCGAAAGCACUCUACUGGGCCAAAACUGACACUCAGAGACGAAAGCUAGGGGAGCGAAUAGGAUU